rnacentral:piRNA from 2 species
AGUGGUGACAAUGAGACCUGUAAC